rnacentral:tRNA from 1 species
GGCGCCAUGGCUUAGUGGUAAAGCGCCUGUCUUAUAAACAGGAGAUCCUGGGGCCU